GAGUAUUCUGGCAACAAAGGAGCCAGCAGACAAACCGCUUCUCUUCCACAGACCACCUACUGCCAGACCUCAACGCCUCACAAAACUCUCACCCACCUACUGCUUUUAGCUCACAUUCCAGGAAUUCAGAUGAAGUGAAGUGCUCUCAUGGGGACCAGGCAUGGUUAUUCCAGUCCACUGCCCUGCAAGCCUCAAGGGAAGCCAACUGCCCUUCAGCAAGUCACACCUGCCUUGGUGGAGGCCUUGAUUGGAAGUGCCACACGCUACAUGUCCAGUCCUGAGCGGGAGAAUCGGUGUAGGGACGUUGUGGGGAUGCCGGCUGUGGCCAGAUCAGGUCCAGCUACAGAAGAAUGAAGACUCCACCUGAGGGCUGGAAAAACAAAACCUCAAGUGUGAGGCAGCCAACCUGUUACCUCGAGGGACUGUCCCGCAGCACAGCGGGGCCAUGGGAACAGCAGCAGACACCCCGGCCUCCUCGCUACCUGUAUCAACUAUGGCCUGAGUAUGAUAGACUUAUCCAUGGUUUAAACAGAAUAUAUUGUUUUCAACUUUGAAAAUAAGAAUAUGGAAAUCCAGAUGCAGAAAUGUGAGAAGAAAAGAGAGUAAACAGAGUGGAAGGUCAGGUGACCUUGCCUGUCAUGAAUAUGAAGGUCAAGGUGUGUGAAUUGUGAAAUUUCCAAGAGAACCUCACUGAAGCAAAGAAUGGAGAAAGAAUCGCAUUUGGCCCUGGGAGCGUGCAGGGGUGAAUGGUGCAGGAGCUAAAUCUUUAUCAUACCCAGAAAUCAACAGCCACUAUUUGAAAUCAUCUAAAUUCGUGCUGCUAACCUUCAGUGUACACACAAAUCACCUGGGGACCUUAUUAAAAGCUAGUUUCUGAUUCACUAAA